GGUAGUGGUGGUGGUGGUGGUGGUCGCUUUCUUUAAUCUUUAAUUUCCGAGAUUGGGCUGUGUUCUGUUAUUCUUGCUUGGCUUUUAAGGUAGCGAUUGAUGUGAUUUUAGCCCCAUAGACAUUGAAAGAUAAAAGUUGGGGAAUUUCCCUCUCUGUCUUUACGUUAUGUCACGGAAACAGAGUGCGAAGAGAGGAUUUUCUUUUUCAUUUGAGGCAUGGGAUUUGGGAUUUUCUUUUCUUUUCUUUUCCUUCAUUUAAUUUCUUUUCAUUUUCAUUGCACAACAUAAGGAAGCAAACAAAUGCUUAACUACUAAAUACCUUCUUAAUCAAAAGUAAUUGCAAGUUUGUAAUGAUGAGUACUCAAGUGGUGCCAUUUUUUGGUUGAGAUUUGAUUGAGCUAAUGUCACAUAUAUUUGCUUUUGGAAGAAAAUAUGCGGAUGAAUGACUUUUAGAGAGCUAUUAAACUGAUGUCUAAUGUCUUUUUGAGGUGCAUAUUCUAUGAAAGAAAAGCAAUUUUCUAACAGAAAAAGUCAAAUAUUUUAUUUUGAGAAGAAUAAAUGGUAUGUUGGAAUUUGAGUAAUUUGUUAUGUGGUUUAUGGUGAAUACUUCUUUUGUAACAUUUAAGAUGGAAGCCUAAACUUACCUAGAAAAGUUAGUGGCACCAGCUUGGAUAUCUAUGUGUUUGUCUAUAUUUGUUUUGCUAGGUAACUAAUGAAUGUCUGUGAUAUUGACCUAAUAAUUUCGUAGUCGUUGUCUCCAUUCAAACUUGGUUAUUAACGUCAACAUCCACUGAAAUGAAAGUGUAGUUUUGGCUUAAAUCUCUGCUCAUGGGUCAAAAGACAUACAAUUGAGUUGGGGCCAUUUGACCUAGGAUUUACUGUUGGGGGCUAGGCAGUCAAAUGAUAUAUCCUCAUAUCCUCUAAACUAGUAAAAAGAUUAUGAAUUCCCCUUAAUUUUGCCCUUUUUAUUUGAUCUUGAGCAUCUUUGCGCAGAUUCCAACAAAUUCAUCUGGUCUCAUC
rnacentral:misc_RNA from 1 species